rnacentral:lncRNA from 1 species
AGAAAGGAGUUGAUAACUGUUCAUACUCUCUGCAGUUACAUAAAAAAAAAAAAAAAAAACAUGGUCAGAGGUGUUACAAUGAGAUUCUGUUACAAGAUGAGGACUUUUUACACUCAAUUCCUCAUCAAUACCAUUUUUUCACAGUAGAAUGGAUCCCUUGUUGAAAUCCAAAUGUCUUGGUUGAAAAACACAUCUUCAGGGUUUGGAUGAAUACAGAUGCUGCUUGUUAACGAUCUUAAGUCCAAAAUGAUGAGUGAGUCCUUGAAAGACAUGAUAUUGAACUUGUUUCAAAUUCAGCUUCUUUGGUUUAGCAAGCCACAAAAGUUAAGAACAAGGUCAUUGGAACAUUUCAGGAUAGUAUU